rnacentral:ncRNA from 2 species
ACUUGUGACACGGGGUGCCCUGCGGGGCUGAGAUAACACCCGUCGAACCUGAUCUAGUUAGAACUAGCGAAGGGAUGUCGCGCAUGUCGCGU